GUCAUACGCACGUUCAGUGGUUAUAUUUAUAAUAAUUUAUAAUAAUUAAAUUCAAAAGUUUAUUUAUUUCAAAUUCUUUUCAUAAAUAUGGGAAAAGGCAAAGGUGGUGGAGGUGGUGGUGGAGCUAAAGGUGGAGAUAAUAAGAAAGGCGGCGGAGGGGCGGGAGCGAAAGGAUCUGAAGCAAAGGCCGACGCGAAGGGAGGAAAUAAAGGCGGAAAAAAAGGUGGAAAAAAAUGAUUACGGACCCGUUUAUAUUUUUAUUUAAAUUAUCAUUAUAUAAAUUAAACUGUAAGUUGGUUAAUAAAAAUAAUUUAUAAACUA